ACGGCUCACCGUCCCCUAGAGGGCAGCCCAGUCCCGCAGGCCAUCUGGAGUUGUUUUUCUCUGCAUGGCCAGGCACCUAAACUCCGUACAACGGGAUGUGUGCAGUUUCAGAAUUAUACCUUCCAAAAGAAGGAAGCAUGCGAACCUGUCCCCCCUCCCCUCUUCCUGCUAGCUGUAAUGCCGAUGUAAUGGUAUGGUCUGGAUCACGUGUUGGAUCCCAGAUAGAAGCGCUUGUUGAAGAUGACUGACCAACAAUAGAGAAUGACUCCUUGAGACCGUGGAGGCAUCAUGUCAACCUUGGAUUGUGAACAUCAUGUCAACCUUGGAGAGAAAUAAACCGUCAUCUUGUCUAGGCCUGCAUCGUCUAAUAUGGUAGCCAUCAGCCACAUGGGGCUAUUGGACAGUGAAAGUGUGGCUGGUGUCACACACUGAAAAUUUUGAUAUAUUGGAUUGAAUAAAAUAUGCUGUUAAAAGGAA